AGGGAAUAGAUACCCGGGUAGUCCUGGCAGUAAACGGUGCACGUUUGGUGUGGGCGCAAUCGACCGCGUCCGCGCCGGAGCUAAACGCGUUAAACGUGCCGCCUGGGAAGUACGGUCGCAAGAUUAAAACUCAAAGAAAUUGACGGGGACCCGCACAAGCGGUGGAGUAUGUGGCAUAAUUCGAUGCAACGCGAAGAACCUUACCUGGUCUUGACAUGCAUUGUGUCUCCGGUGAAAGCCGGAUAGGGUAGCAAUACCCGCUUUGCACAGGUGCUGCAUGGCUGUCGUCAGCUCGUGUCGUGAGAUGUUGGGUUAAGUCCCGCAACGAGCGCAACCCCGUGUGAUUUGUUGCCACCGGCUUAUGCCGAGCACUCGAAUCAGACUGCCUCGAUCAACGAGGAGGAAGGUGGGGAUGACGUCAAGUCCGUAUGGCCCUUACGACCAGGGCUGCACACGUACUACAAUGCCCAGUACAAUGUGAACCGAGACCGCGAGGU
rnacentral:rRNA from 1 species